rnacentral:misc_RNA from 1 species
UCGAGGGGAAAGAAGUCCCA